rnacentral:lncRNA from 1 species
CCCGCCCCGGCAGUGCCCGGGCUGAGCCGGGCCCGCCGCUCUGGUCCGGUACGCCCCUCCAGCCUCCCUCACCGCUUUGCUCACAGCUGUGAGCAGCAGCCCCAGCUGUGGAGCCUCACCUCACCUAAACCCGACAGAUUUAGUAACCAGCACAGUAAUUAGCAGCAUUAGCCAUCCAGAUGUGAACAGGCUCUGUGCACGAAACAGGUCUGUAAUGAUCUCACGCAUUCCUGCAGCUACCCAGAAGAAAGGUCACGUGAGAAUGCAGGGGUGACCAUCGGCAAGCCAAGGAGAGAGGCCUCUGAAGAAACCAAACCUGCCGGCACCUUGAUCUGGGACUUCUAGCUUCCAACUGUGAGAAAAUAAACUUCGGUUGUUUAAGCCCCCCUGUCUGUGGUAUUUUGUUAUGGCAGCCGAGCUGACUAAGACACGCACGUUUUGAACACACUCCUCACCCCAUCCAGCUUGUUCAGUCUCCUCCCAGUACUUUGACUCCAGCCUUCUCCACUCCAGUGAAGUGUCUCUCCAUACGGUCCCCCCACGAACCUUGUCCAUUCUUGCCUAGGACACUUGCCUAAAAUGUGUCCUCAUCUUUUGACGCCCAAACUAAGUCUCACCUCCCGCUUGGCAAACAGCGAGCUUCACCUCUCC